AACGAACGCUGGCGGCAUGCCUAACACAUGCAAGUCGAACGAGACCUUCGGGUCUAGUGGCGCACGGGUGCGUAACGCGUGGGAACCUGCCCUUAGGUUCGGAAUAACUCCCAGAAAGGGGUGCUAAUACCGGAUAAUGUCUUCGGACCAAAGAUUUAUCGCCCUUGGAUGGGCCCGCGUUGGAUUAGCUAGUUGGUAGGGUAAAAGCCUACCAAGGCGACGAUCCAUAGCUGGUCUGAGAGGAUGAUCAGCCACACUGGGACUGAGACACGGCCCAGACUCCUACGGGAGGCAGCAGUGGGGAAUAUUGGACAAUGGGCGAAAGCCUGAUCCAGCAAUGCCGCGUGAGUGAUGAAGGCCUUAGGGUUGUAAAGCUCUUUUACCCGGGAUGAUAAUGACAGUACCGGGAGAAUAAGCUCCGGCUAACUCCGUG
rnacentral:rRNA from 1 species